ACAAAAAUUAACACAUUUAGGUUAAGCCCACUAAAAAAUUUAUCUGCCCCUUUAAAUUUGUCUUCCUCUCUACUCUUUGCUCCAACUUUCCAAAAAAGCUUUUUGUUUUACCCAGACAUGCUCCCAGCUAGUUCAUGCUUCAACUUUUGAUUUCACCGCCUCCUCCUUUGGGUUCGAAAUCUGGUUCUCGAUAAUGAUGAUAUUGCCAUGCUUGCACAAGAGCUUUCGUCUAUCCAAGAUUUGUCUCCUAAUGCAGAUAUAGGAUAUGGUUGACCUCCAUUCUUUCAAGUUAGAUCUGAAGUCAGACCCCUUUGUUUUUUAUGAAUGUUUUUGUGUAUUAACUUAGUUUAGCCAACCUAGCUUAGAAACUUUAUAGAAUCUGUGCCAUGGGAAAAUAUUGAUGUAAUUAUUAAUGUUGCUACUCCUGCUUCUCUCUAAUUUUUUGCUCAGUGAAUGCAUGCUUAAUGUCUGAUGGUUCUCCUUUCUCUUAA